UAUGAGUGUGUGUGUGUAUAUAAUGCAGUGUGUGCAUUAUAUACACACACACUGCAUUAUAUACACACACACUCAUACA